GCCCUGGUGGCACAGUGGUUAAAUGCCUGUACUGCAGCCACUCACUCAUACUCAUAAACCACAAGGUUGCGAGUUCAAUACUAGCCAGGGCU